UAUCAAGAAAAGUGACACCAGAUUGUAUGGCAUGGUGAAUGAGAGCAAUCAUGUCAGGUUCAGGUUUAGGAGGACCAUAGAAAGCAGACAUGCUCAUGCAACCAAGUCCUUGUAAGGACACUUCCAUGCCUUGUGAUCCUAACUUCAUUCUUCCUACUUUUGUCAUUGCUCUCACUUUCACAAUACAAUACUCAAUAAAUUUUCUAUAUAAAGGCCAGAACAAGUUGAAGUUAUGAAUAUCUCCAACAUCAGGUCUAUUUAUAAUUAUUUGAUAAAUAAUUAUUUAUUUCCAGAACAUGAACAAGUAAAAAUAUAUUCCGAAGAAAAAAAAAGAAAAAAAAAAUUCUUAUUCGAGGCAAUUAGAACUGAUCAGAACAACCAAACCAUUUUUAAUAGAAAGAAAUGUACUGGAAUAAACGAAAUCAGUAAACAAGUUCCUCGAUGGUCAUACGAGUUAAUCGACGAAUUGGAGCAAAUGACGGAAAGACUAACAAAAGAGUUUCAGAUUCGUUCCGCAAAAGCCGAACGUAUGGUAAUUUUUAAUGGGAAUACAGAUUCACUGACUUUGAAUAUUGGUCCUAGAAAUGACAAUGACGCUAUUCUUGAAGUGGACUUAAAUCACGAAUUUUUUCUAGUAAAUUUUUUACGCGAACCAGAUUUUGAUCGAGAUAUAAUUAAGGGAUCUAUGCGCCCUCUAAGGCGUAAAAUAGCGACAACGAAACUUUCUCAAGGAAAUGCACAGCCCCAUUCCCCCAUUUUUUUGGAGAUGAUAGACCCAUUAUAUUUUCUUUUUGGUGAUCUUUUCGAUGAUCUAUCCCAAAUUUUCAAAGAAAUGUUCAGGAAACCUGGUACUGACAAUUCAGAAUUUGUGGAGUUUCAGGAAAGGCUCGAACACAAAUACGAAGAGGACGCCAAAGACGACGCUGAAAUAAGACGUCUAAAAAUAGAAGAAGACUGGGAAAGUAUUCUAUAUGGUCUAAUAAUUAGAAGUUUUGUAUUACUAAUCCAAUCUUUUUUUAGAAAAUAUAUUCUACUACCUUCAUUGAUAAUAACUAAAAAUAUCAUUCGUAUCCUAUUAUUUCAAAAUCCCGAAUGGUCAGAAGAUUUUAGGGAUUGGAGCAGGGAAGUUCAUAUUAAAUGCACCUAUCAGGGCAUUCCAGUAUCCGACAAAGAAUUGCCAAAAAACUGGUUCGACGAGGGUAUUCAGAUAAGGAUCUUAAACCCUUUUGUUCUGAAAGCUUGGCACAAAUCUAAGGUACAAUCUACUGAAAAAAAAAAAAAAAAAGAUCCACAGAAAAAAAAUAUACUGAAAACAAAAACUUCUGGUUUUUAACAGGUUAUGGAACACUAGUAGAAUCGUACCUUGAUGAGGGUUUCCCAAGAGACCCACUUUCAAUUUUUGGUCCCGUUUUAAAAACAAUAAGAAAACAAUUGAAAAAAGAUUUGAAAAAGCAUUUUUUUCUAGUUCUAAAAUUUUUAAAUGAAAGAAAAAAAUGGUUUCGAACUAUGUUAAAAAAAAUAGAAAACUGGAACAUCAAAAGGAUUCUUAAAAGUAUUCUAUUUAGGUUCAAAAUAAUAGAUGAAACAAUAGAUGAACUGAGUGAAAGCAAAAAAACUUCAACAAUCAGUAAGAAUAAUUCAAAGAUUGAGGUGAUUGAGGUGAUUGAGGAAUCACCCGUUAAAAUGGAAUCGAUUAAUUGGACAAAUUCUUCAUUCACAGAAAAAAGGAUAAAAGAUCUUAAUGUUAAAACAAAGACAAUCAUAAAACAAAUAGAAACAAUGACAGAAGAAAAAAAAGAGGGGAUUCUAACUUCAGAGAUCAAUUUGAAUUCGAACAAAACUACUUAUGAUGCUAAAAGAUUAGAAUUACAAAAAAAUAAUUUGCAAAUCUUACAAAGAAGAUUUGUUCGAUUAAUACGUAAAUCCUAUUCUUUUUUCAAAAUUUUCAUAGAAGGGGUAUACAUAGAUAUCCUUUUAUGUAUCAGUAGUAUUGCUAGGAUCCAUCGACAACGUUUUCUUGAUUUUCUUGAAUAAACAGACAAAAUACUAAAUGUAAAAAAACCCAUUUACGACAAAAAAAAAAAUGGAAGAAAUGGAAGAAAGAUUUGAAAAUCUAAGUCUAAGUAGACUUAUAUCGAUUCUAGAGAAAUCUGAGAAUAUUACGAAUAUGAAUUCACAGAAUUCUUGGGAUGUAUCUUCUUUGUCAUCUUUGUCACAAGAAUAUGUAUUUUAUAAAUUAUCACAAAUCCAAUUUAGUAAUGGAUCUAAAUUUAAGAUAAGAUCUAUUUUGGAAUCUCCUGGAAGAUCUUUUUUUCUUAAGAAUGAAAUAAAGGAUUAUUUUUUUAGAAUGCAAGGAACAUAUAAUUCCAAAUUAAGACAUAAGAAACGUUCCGAUUCGUUAAUGAAUCCAUGGACAAAUUGGUUCAAGGUUCUUUAUCAAUAUGAUUUACCUGAGAAGAGAUGGUCGAGAUUAGUAUCACAAAACUGGAGGAAUAGAAUCAAUGAACAUCGUGUGGCUCAAAAUAAAGAUUUAGUUGAAUAUGAUUCAUAUGAAAAAAAUCAAUUAAUUUGGAAAGAAUUAAUUCUUUCCAAAAAACAAGAACAAGAAGGAGACUUAUUAAAAAUAGAAAUUAAAAACAAAAUUAAAAAACAAUAUAGAUAUGAUCUUUUCUCCUAUCAAUAUCUUAAUUUUGCGAAUAAGAAAAAAUCCUCUAUUUAUGGAUAUAGAUCACCGAAUAAAAACCAAGCGAUUUCUUAUAAUUACAACAUCUCUAUCCAAAAUUAUCUAGAAGAAUAUGAUAUUCUAGAUAUGGAAAAAAAUCUGGAAAAAAAUCUGGAUAGAAAGUAUUUCAAUUGGAUGGGAAUGAAUGUAAAAAGGAAAAAGACUUCUAGACCGAAGGAUAAAUUCCUUAUUCCCGGAUUUUGGUUCUUUUCAAAAUUAAGCAAAUUAUAUUGUGCAUAUAAGAUGAAUCCUUGGAUCUUACCAAUAAAAUUCUUUGUUUUGCAGCUUGAUAAUUUAGAGUUAACAACGGAAGAAUACGUGAAUACAGUAGAUGAAGAUCUUAAAUCUGUCUCAUACUAUUAUAAAGGAUCAGAUUCUAAAUACAGGACCGAUCUAAAGGGAGAACGGGAUUUCUUACUAUCAAAAUAUUUGGGUUUUUAUUUGCACUGUGAUAGUUCCGACGAAGAAAUAGGAAUGGAUAAUACCAACUUAUUUUGUCUCCUGCUUAGAAUGAAAAAAUUCAACAAAAUUGUAAUAAUGUCGAUUAAAAAGCUAGAGCUAGAUAUAGAAAUGCUGGUUGAUUCAAGGACGAAGGAUUUUUGUUAUACAGAAUGUAGGGACACUGAGGACUUGAAGGAAAGGCUAAUCUUUUUUAUUGAACCUAUUCGCCUGCCUAGAAAAAAGCAUGAACAAUCUCUUCUAUAUCAAACCAUAAGACUACCGUUGAUUCAUAAGAGUAAGACGCGAAAAAGUUGGAGUUGGAAAAAGAAAAAAAGUCGUGUUGAUCAAAAGAUAACAGAAAAUAAAGAUAAAAAUCUUUAUGAUUUGUUUGUUCCUGAAAAUCUUUUGUCCACUAGACGCCGUAGAGAAUUGAGAAUUCUAACUUGUUUCAAUCCUAGGAAUAGAAAUACUGUGCAUAGAAAAACAAUAAAUGACAAUGAGAAUCAAAUAAAAAAUGUUUCUCAAGUUUUGACUAAAAAUAAAGAUCUUGAUAGCGAAACAAAAAAACUAAUGAAUUUUAAAUUAUUUCUUUGGCCAAAUUAUCGAUUAGAAGAUUUAGCUUGUAUAAACCGCUAUUGGUUUAAUACCCAUAAUGGAAGCCAUUUCAGUAUAUUAAGGAUACAUAUGUAUCCUCGAUUGAAAGAUUAAUUUAGAAUCUACAUUUAUCUUCUAUAUUAUCAUUAUCAUAAUAUUUUUUGUAACAUAUCUGAUAUGUGAAUAAAUAUAUAUAUAUAUAAAUAUAAAUUUAUAUAUAUAUAUUUAUUUAUAUUUUUAUAUAAAUAAAUUUAAAUAAAAAAAAGAAAUGCGAUGGUCUUAUUUUUUUUUGAAAUAGACAAGACAAUAGAAUUUUUUAUUUAUUCAAUUAAUAAAUAUAGUAUUUAUUUUUUUAUCUAUUUGAUUUUAUCUAUUUGAAUUACAUUCCUUAAUAAUAUAAUAAUAUAAUUGAUUUGAAAAGAAAAAAAAAAUUUAAGAUAAUUUUAUAUACAAAAUUAAAAAUUAGUGUCAUUACUAUUACUGAUCAAUAAAAAUAUCUACCAAAAACGAGGGGGAGAGAAAAGCUUUCAUUUUAUGAUAAAAAAUUCAUUUAUACCUGUUAUUUCACAAAAAAAAAAAAAGAAGAAAACCCCGGAUCAGUUGAAUUUCAAGUAUUCAAUUUCCAUAAUAAGAUACUAAGACUUACUUCACAUUUGGAAUUACACCCAAAGGACUAUUUAUCUCAAAGGGGUUUACAUAUAAUUCUAGGAAAACGGCAACGACUACUGUCUUAUUUGUCAAAGAAAAAUAAAAUACGUUAUAAAAAAUUAAUAAAUCAGUUGGGUAUUCGGGAUUCACAAAUUCGUUAAUUUCAAGAAUCAUUUUCAAUUAUUCGAUUUAUUAGAUCCUGAAUUUUGAUGAACUUUUUUUUUAACGAUUCAUGGAAGAAUGAAUCGAGGAAAAACCUAUGAAUGUGCCAGCUACAAGAAAAGACCUCAUGAUAGUCAAUAUGGGGCCUCAACACCCAUCAAUGCAUGGUGUUCUUAGACUUAUUGUUACUCUGGAUGGUGAAGAUGUUAUUGAUUGUGAACCAAUAUUGGGUUAUUUACACAGAGGUAUGGAAAAAAUUGCGGAAAAUCGAACAAUUAUACAAUAUCUGCCUUAUGUAACACGUUGGGAUUAUUUAGCUACUAUGUUCACAGAAGCAAUAACCGUAAAUGGACCGGAACAAUUGGGAAAUAUUCAAGUACCUAAAAGAAUGAAAUUGGCUGAUAUUAUCACAAUACUAGGUAGCAUAGAUAUCAUUAUGGGAGAAGUUGAUCGUUGAAAUGAUAAUUGAUACAACGGAAGUCCAAGAUAUAAAUUAUUUUUCCGGAUUGGAAUCUUUCAAAGAGGUCUAUGGAAUUCUAUGGAUACUUGUACCUAUUUUGAUUCUUGUAUUGGGAAUCACAAUAAGUGUACUAGCAAUUGUAUGGUUAGAAAGAGAAAUAUCUGCAGGGAUACAACAGCGUAUUGGACCCGAAUACGCCGGUCCUUUUGGAAUUCUUCAAGCUCUAGCAGACGGAACAAAACUACUAUUCAAAGAGAAUCUUAUUCCAUCUAGGGGAGAUAUUCGUUUAUUCAGUAUCGGACCAUCCAUAUCAGUAAUAUCAAUUCUAAUAAGUUAUUCAGUAAUUCCCUUUGGCUAUAACUUUGUUUUAUCUGAUUUCAAUAUCGGUGUUUUUUUAUGGAUUGCUAUUUCGAGUAUUGCUCCCAUUGGACUUCUUAUGUCAGGAUAUGGGUCAAAUAAUAAAUAUUCCUUUUUGGGUGGUCUACGAGCUGCUGCUCAAUCGAUUAGUUAUGAAAUACCAUUAACUCUAUGUGUCUUAUCAAUAUCUCUACGUGCGAUUCGUUGAAACCAAAAAAGCUAUUCGAUGCUAUUGCUAUGCUCCUCUCUUUAUAGUACUAUAUAUAAUAGGAAAGGAGUCGAAUAAAUUAAAUAGAAACCUUCAUUAUCUUAAUUUGAUUUUUCACAAUUCGGAUUGAAGAACUAAAUUAGAUAGUUAUAUGAGUGAAAAAAAACAGCUUAUAUUGAAUAAAAUUUCAGAAUACUCUAUUACCUAUAGUUAACAGAUAGUAUGAUGAUUUUAAAUGGCAGUAAAAAUAUUGAGUCUCAUUUUCUAUGUAUAAGAAUGAAGUCAAAUAAAAUAAAUUAUAAAGAGAAGAGGACAUUUAACCCAAGAUUGGAGAAUAUUUUUCAUCCUGUUUUGAAGCGGGCUCAAAAGACCAACCUUAUUGAGUUUUAGUUAUCAUUUGUAUGAUCCUAGAUGUUAAAAUAAGGGGUUAAUAAAAAAAAGAGUGGAUGGUUAGAAACACCAAGAUACACAAAGGAUUAGUAACACAGAUUUUGUAAAUUAUCCAAAAGACAAUUUACGCAUAAUAGAAAAAGAAUACUAAUUGGGGCUUUAAGUUGGUAGAAAAAAUCAAGCAGUACUCCCCAUAACUCCGAUCCAGAGUAUGCUUCCAUCCACCGAUUAAAUAAAUUACUAUCAGGAACGAAAAAAUCCUUUAAAAUUUUUUAAGUCCCUUUUUCAUAGCACAAACAAAGAAGAAUAGGAACGAAAAAAGAAGAAGAAAUCAUAAACGAAAAGCAGAUCUCUUUUUUGUGCUAUGAUUUCUUAUAUCCAUAUUCAUAUUCAUGGAGAUCAAAUUCACAUGAUAAUUAAGAAACGAAUGUGUAAUUCUUUUUCGUAAUUCAAAAUGCCGAGGGUUAUGGAGAAUUCUAAAAGAGUAUUUUAUUGAAGAAUUCAGUUAUUACUCAACAAAUUCAAAUUUCGAUUUUUAAGGGAUGAGAUCAAUUCAGACGUGCCUUAUUGUAUUUGUAUGUUUUAUUAAAAUGGAUUUAUCUUUCGUAUUUAGUUAUUUCUAGAACAGACAGAAUUGAAUUGGUCUAAUUCAGAACCGUUUGAUAGAUUUAAAUCUUCUAUAUCUUAUGGAUAUGGAUAUAUCACGAGAUAAAGAAUCGUCCCGGUCCUUAGAUUUACUUAAGGCUUUCCAGGAGCCGUAUGAGGUGAAAAUCUCAUGUACGGUUCUGUAUUAGAGAUGGGAACAGUAAUGUUAUCACCGACUAGGAUUAUCUAACAGUUUAAGUACAGUUGAUAUAGUUGAUGCGCAAUCAAAAUAUGGUUUUUGGGGGUGGAAUUUGUGGCGUCAACCUAUCGGUUUCAUUGUUUUUCUAAUUUCUUCACUAGCAGAAUGUGAAAGAUUACCUUUUGAUUUACCAGAAGCAGAAGAAGAAUUAGUAGCGGGUUAUCAAACAGAAUAUUCGGGUAUUCGAUUUGGUUUAUUUUACGUUGCUUCCUAUUUAAACCUUUUAAUUUCUUCAUUAUUUGUAACAGUUCUUUACUUGGGCGGUUCAAAUAUCUCUAUUCCGUACAUAUUCGUUUCUGAGUUUUUUGAAAUCAAUAAAACAUAUGGAGUUUUUGGAACUACAAUUGAUCUCUUUAUUACAAUUGAUCUCUUUAUUACAUUAGCUAAAACUUAUUUUUUCUUAUUCGUUUCUAUCAUAACAAGAUGGUCUUUGCCUAGGCUAAGAAUGGAUCAAUUAUUAAAUCUUGGAUGGAAAUUUCUUUUACCUAUUUCUCUCGGUAAUCUAUUAUUAACAACUUCGUCUCAAUUGUUUUCACUCUAAAAGAUUUAUUUUCUAUAUUCAUAACUUGUCUCAAAUAAGAGAAAGAAAUAAAACAAAAAUAUUCAUAGAUAUUUACGAUAUGUUCCUUAUGGUAACUGGGUUCAUGAAUUAUGGUCAACAAACAGUCCGAGCUGCAAGGUACAUUGGUCAAAGUUUCAUUAUUAUCUUAUCUCACGCAAAUCGUUUACCUGUAACUAUUCAAUAUCCUUAUGAAAAAUUAAUCACAUCGGAACGUUUCCGCGGUCGAAUCCAUUUUGAAUUUGAUAAAUGCAUUGCUUGUGAAGUAUGUGUUCGUGUAUGUCCUAUAGAUUUACCCGUUGUUGAUUGGAAACUGGAAACUGAUAUUCGAAAGAAACGAUUGCUAAAUUACAGUAUUGAUUUCGGAAUCUGUAUUUUUUGUGGUAACUGUAUUGAGUAUUGCCCAACAAAUUGUUUAUCAAUGACUGAAGAAUAUGAACUUUCAACUUAUGAUCGUCACGAAUUGAACUAUAAUCAAAUUGCUUUGGGCCGUUUACCAAUGUCAGUAAUUGAUGAUUAUACAAUUCGAACAAUUCAAAUAAAAUAAAAAAAGAGAAUUUUUUAUAAUUAAAAAUUAUUUUUAUUCUUAAUAAAUAUAAAAUAAAAAAGAAAAUCAGAAUAGUAUAGAAUAGACUAUAUAUAUAACUCUAUAAAUAAUGAUAAUCUAUAUAUAUAUUAUAGAUUAUAUAGAAUAUAUAAGAGAUAAGAGAAUAAUCAAAAUAAAAUAUUAUCAAAAUAUAAUAAAAAAAAAAUUUAAGUAUAUAAAUUUUUUUUUCCUGGUCAUAUCAAUACGGUCAUGAAAUUUCGAUUUCUUUGUCUUUUUUUUUUUACAUAUAAUGGAUUUGCCUGAAACGCUACACGAUUUUCUUUUAGUCUUUCUGGGAUCGGGUAUUAUAUUAGGAAGUCUAGGAGUAGUAUUACUUACCAACCCUAUUUUUUCUGCUUUUUCGUUGGGACUGGUUCUUGUUUGUAUAUCCUUAUUAUAUAUUUUAUCAAACUCCCAUUUUGUAGCUGCAUCACAGCUACUUAUUUACGUGGGAGCUAUUAACAUUUUAAUCACAUUUGCUGUGAUGUUCAUGAAUAGUUCCGAAUAUUACCAAGAUUUUAAUCUUUGGACUGUUGGGGAUGGAAUUACUUUGAUAGUUUGUACAAGUAUUUUUGUUUCACUAAUAACUAUUAUUUCAGAUACUUCAUGGUACGGAAUUAUUUGGACUACAAGACCAAAUCAGAUUAUUGAGCAAGAUUUGAUAAGUACUAGUCAACAAAUUGGAAUUCAUUUAUCAACCGAUUUUUUUCUUCCAUUUGAACUAAUUUCAAUAAUUCUUUUAGUUGCUUUGAUAGGUGCAAUUGUUGUAGCUCGCCAGUAAAAAAUCUUUAUAGAAUUAGUAAUAUAAAUCAAGAUUUUAUUUUAUUUUUUUUCAAUUCUAUGUUAUGUAUAAACUCUUUUUUUUUAUUGCCAAUAUAUUCUUUUGUUCCAGACUUGGUAUAUUCUUUAGUCAAUUGAAUCUGUUGAAUUUUUGUUCAUAUUGAAAUGAAUCAAAAUUAAUAAGGAGUUGGUCAAUGAUGCUCGAACAUGUACUUGUUUUGAGUGCCUAUUUAUUUUCUAUUGGUAUCUAUGGAUUGAUCACGAGCCGAAAUAUGGUUAGAGCCCUUAUGUGUCUUGAACUUAUACUGAAUGCAGUUAAUAUAAAUCUCGUAACUUUUUCUGAUUUUUUUGAUAAUCGCCAAUUAAAAGGAAAUAUUUUUUCAAUUUUUGUUAUAGCUAUUGCAGCCGCUGAAGCAGCUAUCGGACUGGCUAUUGUUUCCGCAAUUGCUCGUAACAGAAAAUCAACCCGUAUCAAUCAAUCGAAUUUGUUGAAUAAAUAGCAUUAAUUAAUCAUAAUUAAUAAAAAAAAUUCAAUUCAAUCAAAUAGUGAGUGUAAUAUUUAUCAAUUCAAAUUAAUAUGUAUUCUACACAACUUCUGAUCAUGUUUGCAUUGCCUAAAUCAUAAGAAAUCAAAGUAUCCUCUUCUAUUCCUUAUUCUAAAUUUAUCUAGACAUCUUUUUUGAUUAACAAUUAACAAUAUUAUAACAAAUCAUUGAUUCAUCUGGUAUAUAAAUAUAUGAUUCAUUUACGAGUUUACUAGAUCGAUAAUUUUCAUUUUUUAUGUUCAAAAAUUACUAUAGAUACAAUGUCACAUUCAGUAAAGAUUUAUGAUACAUGUAUAGGAUGUACUCAAUGUGUCCGAGCUUGUCCCACAGAUGUAUUAGAAAUGAUACCUUGGGAUGGAUGUAAGGCUAAGCAAAUAGCUUCUGCCCCAAGAACAGAGGACUGUGUUGGUUGUAAGAGGUGUGAGUCCGCUUGUCCGACGGAUUUCUUAAGUGUUCGGGUUUAUUUAGGGCCUGAAACAACUCGAAGUAUGGGUCUAGCUUAUUGAUACGUUUCAAAAAACACCACACGAAUACGUUUUUUUACUGGCAAAAACCCGUGCUCAAAAAAAUAUUUUGUAUUUUUUUUUUAGCACGGGCUUUUCUGGCCCAAGUGUAUCUUAUUUUUAUGACGAAUUAUUUUCCUUGGUUAACAAUAGUUGUAGUUUUCCCAAUAGCCGUAGGUUCCUUAAUUUUCUUAUUCCCUCAUAGGGGAAAUAAGGUAAUUAGGUGGUAUAGCAUUUCUAUAUGCUUAAUCGAUCUCCUUCUAACAACCUAUGCAUUUUGUUAUCAUUUCCAAUUGGAUGAUCCACUAAUUCAACUGACGGAGAAUUAUAAAUGGAUCAAUUUUUUUGAUUUUUACUGGAGAUUGGGAAUAGAUGGACUCUCUAUAGGACCUAUUUUACUGACGGGAUUUAUAACUACUUUAGCCACUUUAGCGGCUCAGCCGGUUACUCGAGAAUACCAAUUAUUCUAUUUCCUGAUGUUAGCAAUGUAUAGCGGUCAAAUCGGACCAUUUUCUUCUCGAGACAUUUUACUUUUUUUCAUCAUGUGGGAAUUGGAAUUAAUUCCCGUUUAUAUACUUUUAGCCAUGUGGGGGGGAAAGAAACGUUUGUAUUCAGCUACAAAGUUUAUUUUGUACACUGCAGGAGGUUCUGUUUUUUUAUUAAUGGGAAUUCUGGGUAUCGGUUUAUAUGGUUCUAAUGAACCAACAUUAAAUUUUGAAACAUUAACUAAUCAAUCGUAUCCUGUGGCGCUAGAAAUAAUAUUAUAUACGGCAUUUCUUAUUGCUUUUGCUGUCAAAUCGCCGAUUAUACCCUUACAUACAUGGUUACCAGAUACCCACGGAGAGGCACAUUACAGCACUUGUAUGCUUUUAGCCGGAAUCUUAUUAAAAAUGGGAGCAUAUGGGUUGGUUCGAAUUAAUAUGGAAUUAUUUUCCCACGCUCAUUCAAUAUUUUGCCCCUGGUUAAUGAUAUUAGGUUCUACUCAAAUAAUCUAUGCCGCUUCAACAUCUUUUGGUCAACGUAAUUUAAAAAAAAGAAUAGCUUAUUCUUCGGUAUCUCAUAUGGGUUUCAUAAUUCUAGGAAUUGGUUCUAUAAGUGAUACUGGGCUCAACGGGGCCAUUUUACAAAUAAUAUCUCAUGGAUUUAUUGGGGCUGCCCUUUUUUUCUUGGCAGGAACUAGUUAUGAUAGACUACAUCUUCUUUAUCUUGACGAAAUGGGCGGAAUGGCUAUCCCAAUGCUAAAAAUAUUCACGAUUUUCACUAUCUUAUCGAUGGCUUCUCUUGCAUUGUCGGGCAUGAGCGGUUUUGUUGCCGAAUUGAUAGUUUUUUUUGGAAUAAUUACUAGUCAAAAAUAUCUUUUCAUGAUGAAAAUACUAAUUACUUUUGUAACCGCAAUUGGAAUGAUAUUAACUCCUAUUUAUUUAUUAUCUAUUUUACGGCAGAUGUUCUAUGGAUACAAGUUUUUUAAUACACCAAACUCUUAUUUUUUUGAUUCUGGGCCGAGAGAAUUAUUUAUUUCGAUUUCUAUCCUUAUACCCGUAAUAGGUAUUGGUAUUUAUCCAGAUUUCAUUUUUUCAUUCUCGGUUGACAAGGUUGAAGCUAUUCUAGCUAAUUUUUGAUAGAGCAUUUUCAUGAAUAAAUGAAUAAAAAAGAGAAAAAAACCUUAUGAAAAAGAAUAUUUUUCUGUUAGAUUCACUUAACAAAAAAAAAUUGAAAUUAUAAUCCAAUAUGUUUGUUGUUUGUGAGAACCCCUUGAAUCAUUACAUUACUUGAUUGAAAGGGUUCUCCACGAUUUAUGGAAAGUAAAUAUUUAUAUGCUUUCCAUAUUUUUAUUUCUCAGGUUCUUUACUCAUUGAAAAUUAAUUAGAUGUAAAUGAACCAUAACUAUGUAGUCCUAUUCCUAAUAGAUUGAUCCCCAAAUAACAUAUCCAAAUUAUAAGAAAUCCGAUAGAGGCCACUAUUGAAGAAUUUACACCUUCAAAUUUUUUAGUUUUUCGAGUAUGUAAAUAAAUAGCGAAUAUGGUCCAAGUAAUAAAAGCCCAAGUUUCCUUUGGAUCCCAAUUCCAAUAGGACCCCCAUGCCUCGUUAGCCCAUACUGCCCCUGAAAGAAUACCUAUCGUUAAAAACAGAAAACCCAGACUAAUAAUACGAUAACCCCAACGAUCCAAUUGUUGAAUAAAUUGAGACCUAUAAUAAUUUCGAGAAGAAUAAAAAGAUGUUUUUCGUAAAACAUUGUUUCUUUCAUUCAUAUUCAUGUAUUUUAUUUCGACAAAAUCAACUGAUUUAUUUAAAAAAAUCCAAAUUCUUGGUAAAAGCAAGAAUUUGGAUGGCUUCUUGAAACGUAAUGACUAAAAUAGCUACUGAUAAUAAUGAUCCACAUAAAAGAGCUGCAUAGGCCAAUAUCAUCAUACUUACGUGCAUCAUUAGCCAAUGGGAUUGUAGAGUGGGUACUAAUAUUACAGAUUGAUGCAUUUUGGUUAAAAGACCCGAAGUCGCAAAGCCUUGGGUAAAAAUAACACUUGGUGCGAUUAUUGUACUUAAAAGGUUUUUCUCCUUUUUAAAACACGGAACCAUAUGAAAAAUGGAAAAACCCCAUGAAAGAAAGAUUAGUGAUUCAUAUAAAUCACUAAAUGGUAAAUGGCCCGAAAAAAACCAACGAGUAAUUAACAAUCCCGUUACACAGAAAAAAGUUAUUAUCAUGGCUUUUUUGGACAAAUCAUAUAAUCCUACAAUUUCAUUGACUAAUAAGGUUAUCAAAUGAAUUGAAAUAACAAUUGAUAUGACGGAAAACGAUGUUUUUUUUUUGUUUGUUGAUAAAGCUAGAAAAUCAAAUAAAAGUCAGGAGAAGCCUGAACCGCAUACAAACCAAUUCAAACAAAACAAAAACCAACUUCAGAACUCAAAACAAAUAGAAAAACUCAGGUCACAUCUAUUCUAGUGUAAGGUAAUCCAAGCCUAUCUCUUAGGAGAAGGUGAUAUAUGAAAGGAGGUGGAGAAGUCCACAACUGUGUGUAGUAUAGAGAAAGUCCUUGUCCAUGCUUAGCAAGUGCAUCAGCUACCAUGUUUCCCUCCCUAAGGAUAUGAACACAAGAACAAGAAAUACUGUCACAAAAAUCCCAGCAAUUUUGCCACCUAGCUCGCAUCUGCCAAGGGACUCCUAAACCUUUGUUGAAAGCAUUGACAACUUUGAGGGAAUCAGUCUCCAAACACACAUGCAUCAACUGCAUUUCCUGAGCUUUUUCCAUAGCCAUCAUUCCUGCACAAAAUUCAGCCUCUAACGGAGUUGCAUUUCCAAUGUUGCUAGAUAUAGCCCCUAGAAAGUGGUGAUUAGAAUCUCUAAUCACAAUGCCAAUGGAGCCACAAGGAUGUCUGCCCACGGAGGAUCCAUCACAGUUAAUUUUUACUAUAUCACCAAUAGGAGGUUUCCAAAUAAUAUCCAAAUGAGGAGUGACUCUUUUAACUUUGAACGGGAUGUUAAAGAGCUUGGCCACUUUAUAAUCUUGCAUUGCUGAGUUACCUUUAAUCAUACACAAACUGAAGCUCAUUUUGACCUCAGCAAGAAUGAUAUUGAAAAGAGUGGUCAUGGCCUGAUGCUUGUUAUGAAAACAUCUUUGAUUUCUCUCUAUCCAAAUGGACCAGAUAGUAUGAAUAAUAGCUGAAUUCAAAAUGUUGUUGACCAACUUACUACCACUUCCCCAAUUCCUAAUAAGCAACUGAAGACAACUGCUACAAUCCAAUAAUUUGUCAGUCCCCUUUCCCAACCAAUCCCAAAGCCUAGAUGUGACAUGGCAUUCAAAGAAAAUGUGUUGGGAAGAUUCUGCAGAUUUCAUACAAAAACAGCAAAUAGAGACAAUCAAGCAGCCCCUCUUUCUUAAAUUUUCAUCUGUGGGGAGCUUGUUGUGAAGCAGCCUCCAUGUGAUAAAGGAUCUAGAUGGGGGAAUAUAAGAGUUCCAUAGAAAUUUGUCCCAAAGGACAUGAUUACCAGUUUCAUUGAUAAAUUUAUAUGCCAAUUGAUUAGUGAGAUCCCCAAACGAUAUAUGAGUUAAUAUAUGCUCUAAAGUUGAAAAUAUCAUAUCUAUAAUGAAAAUAAAAAAGGUAUGAAUACUAGGAAUAGAAAUAGGGAAUUGAAUUCAUUAUAGGACUUCUUCUUUUCAAAUUUUAAAAAUAUAGGAUAGGAUGCCAUGCCGCUACUCGGACUCGAACCGAGAUGCUCUAGCACUGCUUCCUAAGAGCAGCGUGUCUACCAAUUUCACCAUAGCGGCUUACUCGAAAUCAUAAUAACCAACUCUUUAGUCAAUCGUCGAGAUUGAAAGAAUCGCUUAAAGUGCACUAUUUAUUUAGUACAUUUCUUUACUAAACAUUUAGUAUAAAUUGAUAAUAACAAGUAAAUUUAAAAUUUGUAUUUAUUCGAAUAUCAAAAAUAUGAAAAAAAUUAGAUUCUAUAUAUUUAGAAUCUAUUAUAUAGAUAGAAUCUAAUUCUAUCUAUAUAAUAGAUUCUAAAUAUAUGUUCCAUAUUCUAUACUAGUAUUAGUAUAAAAUGAGUAUUUAAAGAAUACUCUUUGAAUCGAGCUAAUUUAUAUUAUUCCAAUCCAACAUUUUUAUUUUAUUUGUUACAAAUUUUGAUUUAUCUGUAAAAAUGGAUUGAGCUAAUGAAAAGGCUUUCAAUGCUGUCCAAUAUCCCUUUUUUUUCCAAAAAUUUUUACGAAUAUUUUUUUUUUGAUAUAGAAGUACGCUUUUUUGGAACUGCCAUACAAUUAGGAUAGUUUUUUUAUUACUAUAGUUCGAUGUGAAAGACAUUUGUUCUGUAAAUGAAAACGAAUUAUUCUGUAAUUAGCCGUAUGUCUUAUUUAUCUUAAUUCCCUCUUUCUUUUUUUCUAUCUAAAGUAAAACCAUUGAAUAUUAUAAAUCUUUUCCAAAUAUUUCAUAGAUAAUAGAUCUAUAUCUAUGGAUCUCUUUUUAUUGUAAUGUAAAAGAAUCAAUUAGUUCAAAAAGAAACUAAUUUAUAUUGUUUUUAUAAUUUAUAUCAAAAUAAAUGUUCUUCGUUUUGGUGUAAUGAUUUAUCCCCACCCCCACCCUCACUCUAUAUAUCAAAAUUUUGAUUUUAUUUAUUAUUAUUUAAUUUCAUUAUUAUUUAUUAAGAGUCAUUUUUCUUAAUAUAUAUAUAUAAAUGACAAACAUAGUUAUUUAUAUUACUUAUAAUUAAUUAAUUAAUAUUACUUAAAAUAAUAAGAUUUUUUUUAUUUUUACUAGGAAUUUGGUUAUUGGCCGAUUUUGACUUUGUACUUUCCAAUAUUGGAACGAUUGUGCAAAGAUUCAGAACAAUUAAGAAUAUAAAAUUCGAUUUAUUUAUCCACUUUUUAUUAACCGAACCCCUUUACAAAAGAGAUAAAACAAAUGAAUAAGAAACAAAAUUCAUCAAGAAUCAAAAUAUUUUUUAUUCUUUAUUUUUUUUGUAUGGAAUAUAUACAUCAAUAUUCAUGGAUCAUACCUUUCAUCCCACUUCCAGUUCCUAUUUUUAUAGGGGUAGGACUUCUACUUUUUCCUACGGCAACAAAAAAGAUUCGCCGUAUGUGGGCUUUUCCUAGUAUUUUAUUGUUAACGAUAGUUAUGAUUUUUUCGAUCGAUCUAUCUAUUCAUCAAAUCGAGAAUAGUUCUAUCUAUCAAUAUGUAUGGUCUUGGACUAUAAAUAAUGAUCUUUCUUUAGAGUUUGGCUACUUGAUUGAUUCACUUACUUCUAUAAUGUCAAUAUUAAUCACUACUGUUGGGAUUCUGGUUCUAAUUUAUAGUGAUAGUUACAUGUCUCAUGAUCAAGGCUAUUUGAGAUUUUUUACUUAUCUGAGUUUUUUUAAUACUUCAAUGUUAGGGUUAGUUACUAGUUCAAAUUUGAUACAAGUUUAUAUUUUUUGGGAAUUGGUUGGAAUGUGUUCUUAUCUAUUAAUAGGUUUUUGGUUCACACGUCCUAUUGCGGCAAAUGCUUGUCAAAAAGCGUUUGUAACUAAUCGUGUGGGGGAUUUUGGUUUAUUAUUAGGAAUUUUAGGUUUUUAUUGGAUAACGGGUAGUUUGGAAUUUCGGGAUUUAUUUCAAAUAUUCAACAACUUAAUUUAUAAGAAUGAGGUGAAUCUUUUUUUUGUUACUUUGUGCGCCCUCUUGUUAUUUUGCGGAUCAGUUGCGAAAUCUGCCCAAUUCCCUCUUCAUGUAUGGUUACCAGAUGCUAUGGAAGGUCCUACUCCUAUUUCCGCUCUUAUCCAUGCUGCUACUAUGGUAGCAGCAGGAAUUUUUCUUGUAGCUCGACUUCUUCCUCUUUUCAUAGUUAUACCCCCCAUAAUGAGUGUAAUAGCUUUGAUAGGUAUAAUAACAGUAGUAUUAGGAGCUACUUUAGCUAUUGCUCAAAAAGAUAUUAAGAAAAAUUUGGCCUAUUCUACAAUGUCUCAAUUGGGUUAUAUGAUGUUAGCUUUAGGUAUGGGCUCUUAUCGAGCCGCUUUAUUUCAUUUGAUUACUCAUGCUUAUUCAAAAGCAUUGUUAUUUUUAGGAUCUGGAUCCAUUAUUCAUUCAAUGGAAGCUAUUGUUGGAUAUUCUCCAGAGAAAAGUCAAAAUAUGGUUCUUAUGGGCGGUUUAACAAAACAUGCCCCAAUUACAAAAACCGCUUUUUUAAUAGGUACACUCUCUCUUUGUGGUAUUCCACCUUUUGCUUGUUUUUGGUCCAAGGAUGAGAUUCUAAAUGAUAGUUGGUUGUAUUCACCAAUUUUCGCAAUAAUAGCUUGUUCCACAGCAGGAUUAACUUCAUUUUAUAUGUUUCGAAUCUAUUUACUUGUUUUUGAAGGAUAUUUAAACGUUCAUUUUCAAAAUUUCAAUGGAAAGAAAAAUAGUUCUUUCUAUUCAAUAUCUUUAUGGGGCAAAGAAGAAAAACAAAAUUAAAAAACAAAAUUCAUUUAUUAGCUUUAUUAACAACUAAUAAUAAUGAAAGGACUUCUUUUUUUCGGAAAAGGACAUAUUCCCAUCGAAUUAAUCGAAAUGUCAAAAGCAUAAGACGUCUUUUUCUUGAUAGUACCUAUUUUGGUACUAAAAACAUUCCGUUUUUUUAUCCUCAUGAAUCAGACAAUACUAUGCUAUUUUCUAUGCUUGUAUUAGUACUAUUUACUUUCUUCGUCGGGUCCAUAGGAAUUUCUUUCAGCCAAGAACCAAUAGAUUUGGAUAUUUUAUCUAAAUUGUUAAUUCCGUCUAUAGACCUUUUACAUCAAAAUUCAAAGAAUUCUGUGGAUUGGUAUGAAUUUUUUACAAAUGCAACUUUUUCGGUGAGUAUAGCUUUUUUCGGAAUAUUUAUAGCGUCUUUUUUCUAUAAACCAGUUUUUUCAUCUUUACAAAAUUUGAACUUAUUUAAUUUAUUUCAAAAAAGUGUUCUUAAAAAAAUGAUUGCUGAUAAAAUAAUCAAUGUUAUAUAUGAUUGGUCAUAUAAUCGUGGUUAUAUAGAUGCUUUUUUUGAAGUAUCUUUAAUUGCGAGUGUAAGAAAGGUAGCUAAAUUCAAUUAUUUUUUUGAUAGACAAGUAAUUGAUGGAAUUCCAAAUGGAAUUGGGAUUUCCAGUUUUUUUAUAGGAGAGGCUAUCAAAUAUGUGGGGGGGGGGACGAAUUUCUUCGUAUAUUUUCUUUUUUGUAUUAAUCUUUUUACUAAUUUGUUAUUCUAUAUUUAUAUAAUAAAAUGAGAUA
rnacentral:lncRNA from 1 species